rnacentral:lncRNA from 1 species
CUGUUCAUUUUUGUAGAGUAGUAGAAAACAGUAUUGACUGAAUCCUCAGGUACAUUUUGAGUAAUGGAAUCUCUGAGCUUGAUGAUUAGAGAUGAAAUUUAAGAAUUUAUGGUAAAGCUGAGGCUUUCAUCUUUUAGUAUAAUUUCUUAUAUUUAAUAACUCUACAUAAUAAUGUUUAUUUCUACUAAAGGUAUUAAAACAAAGGCCAAG